UUUAUGUUUUACCAGAAGAUGAUACUGCAUCCGAUGUCUCUAGGAGGCUACUAUAGGCUCUCCUUCUCAACUAUUACUCGAUACGUCCACGACGUGUAGAACGGUACUUGUCGCAUAGAUAUCCUAGCUUUGGUGCACGAAGAAACCCACCCCCUUGGGCAGAUGGGCGGUAAGGCUGAAUUGAGAGGU
rnacentral:ribozyme from 1 species